rnacentral:rRNA from 1 species
UACGUAGGGACCAAGCGUUGUCCGGAAUCAUUGGGCGUAAAGAGCGUGUAGGCGGCCACUUAAGUCCUGCGUGAAAUCCUGCGGCUCAACCGCAGGCGGUCGUGGGAAACUGGGUGGCUAGAGUGCGGGAGAGGCGAGUGGAAUUCCUGGUGUAGCGGUGAAAUGCGCAGAUAUCAGGAGGAACACCAAUUGCGAAGGCAGCUCGCUGGGACGUUACUGACGCUGAGACGCGAAAGCGUGGGGAGCAAACAGG